GACGAACGCUGGCGGCGUGCUUAACACAUGCAAGUCGAACGGAAAGGCCCUGCUUUUGUGGGGUGCUCGAGUGGCGAACGGGUGAGUAACACGUGAGUAACCUGCCCUUGACUUUGGGAUAACUUCAGGAAACUGGGGCUAAUACCGGAUAGGAGCUCCUGCUGCAUGGUGGGGGUUGGAAAGUUUCGGCGGUUGGGGAUGGACUCGCGGCUUAUCAGCUUGUUGGUGUGGUAGUGGUUUACCAAGGCUUUGACGGGUAGCCGGCCUGAGAGGGUGACCGGCGACAUGGGGACUGCGAUACGGCGCAGACGCGUAUGGGAGGCAGCAGUGGGGAAUAUGGCACAGUGGGCGGAAGCCUGAUGCAGCAACGCCGCGUGCGGGAUGACGGCUUACGGGUUGAAAACCGCUUUCGCCGGUGACGAAGCGAGAGUGACGGUAAUGGGUAAAGAAGCACCGGCUAACUACGUG
rnacentral:rRNA from 1 species